rnacentral:rRNA from 1 species
UACGAGGGGGGCGAGCGUUGUUCGGAAUUAUUGGGCGUAAAGGGUGCGUAGGCGGUUUGUUAAGUCUGAUGUGAAAUCUAUGGGCUCAACUCAUAGUCUGCAUCGGAAACUGCCGGGCUUGAGUGUGGGAGAGGUGAGUGGAAUUCCUGGUGUAGCGGUGAAAUGCGUAGAUAUCAGGAGGAACACCUGUGGCGAAAGCGGCUCACUGGACCAUAACUGACGCUGAUGCACGAAAGCUAGGGGAGCAAACAGG